AGCGCUAUCCGAAGUCCAUCACCGGCCGACCUCCUACCAGGCUUCCCAUAAAACCGGACUUCCCCGACGGACGAUCUUCGGAUGAGCUUCCACAUCAGAUAAAUCCCAGAUGGACUUCUCUAACGAUCGGACUUCCUCGGACUUCGCCAACAGAAAAUCUCCAUCCGAGCUCCUACAGCAGGUGACUCCCGCCUGAGAUGUCAGCGCCCGAAGCGUCCGACAACAGUAGAUUCGUCAGCAACCUCGGAACAUCCAAGCCUCUCCUAGAACGACGAUGUAAAGGGCCAUUCUGCUCCAUCAGGUAUCCCAGC
rnacentral:lncRNA from 1 species